rnacentral:rRNA from 1 species
GUUCGGAUCGCNGUGACGUAGGUGGUUCGCUGCCCGCGACUCUGCGAGAAGUCCAUUGAACCUUAUCAUUUAGAGGAAGGAGAAGUCGUAACAAGGUUUCCGUAGGUGAACCUGCGGAAGGAUCAUUG